UUGCCAGCCACCCAGACAUGGACAACAAUAGAGAAAGCCUACUGCGGUUCAUCCAGUAAGCGAUGGAUCAAUAUUCUUGGAGAACAAUGACCCCUAAUCGCCAUCAUAAAGAAGCCACGCCCACACGGUGAGCGCAUAAUGGCCUCUCACUGGGCACUACCAGAGGCAAGGCCUGCUGUCUUCUCUACUCCCACCUAGUAACUGGAUGGCUGUAGAUGUGGAGAGAAGUAGCGCCUAGUGGCCCGGAGAAACAAGUAGAAAUAGCGCCUGGAGCGGAGUCAGCCCCACGCCUACCCACCCGUGCACGCGCGGCAGGAGCAGAGUUGGGCCUCUGACUAAAUCUGUUUUUUGUGUUUUCUUGGAAACUUGUCUCCGAAAAGUCUGUCUGGAGUCACCCUUGCUUCCAGAAAGGAUGUGAAGAAAGUAGGAGCCUUUUCACCAGACAAUAAUUGGACUCCAGUUCCCUCAUGUGGUAGUAGUAAAUCCGUCCACCUACUGUGCGUGAGAAACAGCCGAGAGGGGAGGGGAGCUACUGAAUGUUGCGGGACCCUGAAUGCAUCAGAAUUCCAGUGUGUUAAGAGACGAAGCAAGCUGGUCCUCUCUGCCCACCGUAACAUCAGCUUAUCCUUCUGUCUCCUGUCUGCGGUGGAUGUUGCUCUCACUCCAUCCAGAUUUCAAAGCUUCCCUGCCUGGCAUCCAAGUGGUGCUGAAGCUUUAACCCUCUGGUCUUCUGGAGCGCCGGGUCCUACAGCUCGGGUGGACGUGGAUUCAAGGUUCAUCUGAACCCAGAUGCCCCGCUUUGGUGUAAAGCUUUUCCAGUGCGACUCCAUGGAGUGAUACAAACAUAGCAAUAUCAUUUCAAAUACUUAAAAUGGAUGGACCACAAACUUGGCUGUACGCAAAGAGUAUAAUACAGACUUGGCUGGUGCCCAGCUGGCCUUUCUGGUGACCACUUCCCAUGUGACUAUGUCUUCUGUUGGACCCAGGAGUGGCUCAACUCAUGGUGUGCUCCAAAGAACCCACUCUCAAUAAAGCUGACCUCCAUCUCUUGUGACUCCCCAGCCAAACCUCCUAAGUGGUCACUGAGCGGGGACUCUCUAGCCUUCCAGGUUUUCUUUCACUCUGCAGCAAGCACCCCAGGCGGCUAGCUCCGGAUCAAAGGCACAAAUAGGUUUCUGCCCUGAAUAUUCACCGGUUAGAGUGCUCUGUGGACCUGGUGCCAAGCUGUCCAGGAUGCAUCACAAUGCAAAGAAAAGCCCUUAAGAGGCGAUGCUCUCUCUAAACAACCAUCUCCUUCCACCGCCGUUAGCUAAGCAGAAAGAAUGAAAUCUGACCCCAUCAAACCCAGUGGAGAGGAAUGCGGGGAAAGGUUAAAAACCGAGCCUUGCUUUGUUUCUGCGCAGGAGACAGACGGGGCAGAGUGAAUCUUAAUGAACGGAACAAUAGAACUGGGAGUUUAAAACCUGGAACAGUGGUGCCUACAGGCGGAGAGUGGGGAUUAGGGCCGAAGACAGAAAUCAGUCAGUGUCUUAAAAGUUGAUUCAAUUUUUAACCUACAGAUAAAUCAACACACAUUGAGUCGGAAAAUCUGAAUACGACAUCUAAUGAGCCUUUCUGUAAUUUCAGCAGAAAUGGUGGCUUACAUGUCCAAAAAAAAAAAAAAAAAAAAAGAAGAAAAGAAAAGAAAAAGAAAAAGAAAAAGGAAACUCUUUCAGACUUGCCUGGGAAAUUCUUUGGAGUAGGCUGGCAAACUCUGCACAGAAAAAAGAAAAAAGGGAGUCUUCAUAACAUUCGUCUUCUUGAUACAAAAGAAUAAAGAUCAGAGUGCAAUAGGCACACCCCAAAAUUAUUAACUAACGGAAUGCGAACCUGCACCUGUGGCUCCGGUGUGUGCUUCGUGUUAUCCCUCUCCUGGCCAUUCCUGCUUUAUACUGCGGGCAUCUUCAUCGUCUAUAAUUCUCAGUUCUGCCUCCAUCUUUAUUUACUUCCAUCUGCUCCUCCUUCCGGCCCUGCGAUGCUACGGGAAAUG
rnacentral:lncRNA from 1 species